rnacentral:lncRNA from 10 species
GCACUGGGAAUGUGUAAUAAGACACAGCCCUGUUGGUGUCUUAGGUCAAUGACUCCUGACUUGGGGGCGGAUCGCAGUCUCUGGGUGUGAAGGUCCAUCCCGGGCUCUCGCCCCUGUGUCUGCAGACAGUUCAAGAGCACAGUGACCAGUGAAGCCACCCAAGACAAAGCCUCUAUUUAGUCCACAUCACCGUUCUGCCAAAACACAAUCCCCGGAACAUGCAUGAAGAAGCUGAGGCCAUCACCUGCGGUCUGCCCCGCCAGCUCCCUCUGCCUCUCGGCACAUCCCCAAGCCCAUGGCGGCUGGCUGCCUGACUCUCGCUUGCGCCAGGCAAGAGGAGAAACUGAAAACUGCUGGGAAAUCAGCAUCAUCUACAUUCCAGAGACAAAAGGAGACUAACUUUGGAUUUCUUAACUAUGGAAAACACUAGGAUACAAGUGCUAUUUAUGGAGCAUGAGUUUCCUAUGUAUAAAGUUAUCAAAGAAUCUGUGUAUGUUUCACAGAGCUCACGUGCCUGUUACCUCUCAAAAGACCUGCAGCUUCUAAGGAAAGCACUCUUUUUUAAAAAACAAAAUUCUUACUUAAUACUUCAGAGCACAGGGUCCAAGGAACACUCUAGUGCGCCCAGGCAAAUUUGUGGGCAGAGGUGUUUAAAAGGUUAGUGUCAGGUCUUGCCCUCACUGGAAACAAAAACAAAAACAGAAAAACAAAAACUGCUAGUUGAACCAAAUCAUCUGGUGAACCCUGAGGCGGGGAAAUACAGAGAAAGAACUUGUUUUUACAGUUCAGUUUCAUUUGGUCUUUGAGAGCAGUGAGGAAAUAGAAGUGUUGUCUAUCACCCCAAUGGGCUACAAGCCCACAACGUGGAGAAACAACAUAAAAAAGGGCUGAAAGGAAAGUUGGAGCGACGCGUUCUGAGGGGGCUGCAGGCAAGUCGGGGAGGCUUGGCCCGAGCAAGGCAAGGGCCCGACCUCAAGGCCGGAGAGAGGCCCUGGCCCCAGAAAGGGACCCACCUCUGCAGGAACGGGUCGGCAGAGUCCGAGAGUCAUCAAGGACAGCUCCAGUUGGAUGCACAAGUUUAACUCUUUUACUGCCACUUAAAUCAAGCUAUUUAACUGCAUGUUCAAAACCGGUUAGCUGGUUGCAAGAAGAUUCUCAUUUCUUUCCAGAACCAUCUGUGAUGGAAGGUGGUCCCGACUUUGAAUGCCUUCCGCAGCAUGCUGGGUUGCCCGUGACCUGAGCGCCAUCUAGUGACCACAUAAACAUCUUUCUUACCUUCCCACCAACACACUCAUGCGGACACAGAGAAAGGUGAGGGCUCACACAGCAUAGAAAUGAAGACAGGUCGGGGGAUGUUAACUCUCCAUCAGGGGGCUGGUGGUAGGCACGGCUGCAGCGUCAUGAAACACAACUGUCGGAAAACAGUCAGAAAUGCCACAGUGUGCCCCCACCACUGUCUGCCCCUGGAUUGAGAGAUGAGAGACAGUGCCAGUCAGAAAACUGAAGACGAGGUUCCUUCCAUACCAAGAGUACUGACCUGUGAGGUGACCCUCUGUCUGCAUUACCACCCCCAAAUCUCUCUACCUGUGCAGGAGACAGCCCUCCUUAGAAACUAUCUGAACAGCAAUUAGUGAAGGGGCCACAUCCCGGAACAGAUUGUUCCCCCAGCGAGGAAGGGAGGGGCUGGGGCAGGAAGAGGAAGUUCGCAGUGCCUUCAGGAAGGUCGUUUCUGGGACUAGUCCAAAGUUCCAACAAGGAAAUCAGAAGGCAGAGAGCAGCUAGAUGUGGAAGCUCAGGGAGGGUAUCUGGGAGUUUACUGUACAAUUCUCUACCUUUGCGUGUACUUGAAAUUUUCUAUAAUUAAAAGUUGCCCUUUAAAUGUUUCAGAGAACUCAGCCAAACCAGUCUUUUCAUUUCUUUCUUGCCACAUGGCCUUGGAAUAUGUCAUCACCUCUGCCUGGAACUCUUUCCUACUCCUCACGUGCCGGUGGCUUCCCCUCUGGCAGCCUAAGACACCUCCUCCUAGAAGCCUUCCUUGAUUCUGUCAGGCAGAAGCAGCUCUCCC